GACGAACCGUGCGGACGUUAUUCGGAAUCACUGGGCUUAAAGCGCGUGUAGGCGGGACGGCACGUCUGUCGCUGAAAUCCCCCGGCUUAACCGGGGAACUGGCGUAGAUACGACCGUCCUGGAGGGGCGUAGGGGGACCUGGAACUUCCGGUGGAGCGGUGAAAUGCGUUGAGAUCGGAAGGAACGCCCGUGGCGAAAGCGAGGUCCUGGACGCCUACUGACGCUGAGACGCGAAAGCCAGGGGAGCGAACGGG
rnacentral:rRNA from 1 species